rnacentral:rRNA from 1 species
UACGGGGGGGGCGAAGCGUUGUUCGGAAUUACUGGGCGUAAAGGGCUCGUAGGUGGCCAACUAAGUCAGACGUGGAAAUCCCUCGGCUUAACCGGGGAACUGCGUCUGAUACUGGAUGGCUUGAGUUUGGGAGAGGGAUGCGGAAUUCCAGGUGUAGCGGUGAAAUGCGUAGAUAUCUGGAGGAACACCGGUGGCGAAGGCGGCAUCCUGGGACGGUACUGACGCUGAGACGCGAAAGCGUGGGGAGCGAACAGG